rnacentral:rRNA from 1 species
UAGUCCACGCCCUAAACGAUGUGUGCUAGUUGUUAGUCCUUCAGGGAUUAGUGACGCAGCUAACGCAUUAAGCACACCGCCUGGGGAGUACGGCCGCAAGGUUAAAACUCAAAGAAAUUGACGGGGACCCGCACAAGCGGUGGAGCAUGUGGUUUAAUUCGAAGCAACGCGAAGAACCUUACCAACCCUUGACAUCCUUAUCGCGGAUCGCAGAGAUGCUUUCCUUCAGUUCGGCUGGAUAAGUGACAGGUGCUGCACGGCUGUCGUCAGCUCGUGUCGUGAGAUGUUCGGUUAAGUCCGGCAACGAGCGCAACCCUCGCUAAUAGUUGCCAUCAUUUAGUUGGGCACUCUAUUAGAACUGCCGGUGAUAAACCGGAGGAAGGUGGGGGAU